GCGAGCGAAAGCGGAUCAGCCCAAACCAGAGUGAUUUAUCACGCUGGGGUUGUAGGACUAUAAUGUGAGAAGCAACGGAUAGACGAAUACCUUGGAAAGGGUAACCAUAGAGGGUGACAGUCCCGUAGUUGAAAUCCCGCGCCGAUCUAAUAGUAUCCUGAGUAGCACCGGACACGUGAAACCCGGUGUGAAUCUGCGCCGACCACGGCGUAAGGCUAAAUACAAGAUGACGACCGACAGUGAACUAGUACCGCGAGGGAAAGGUGAAAAGCACCCCUGUUAGGGGAGUGAAAUAGUAACUGAAACCGAUGGCUAACAAAUCAGUAGGAGCCGCCUUGUGCGGUGACUGCCUGCCUUUUGUAUAAUGAGUCUGCGAGUUUAUGUCCGUAGCAAGCCUAAGCUGCUAAGCAGUGGAGGCGUAGCGAAAGCGAGUCUGAAUAGGGCGAUUGAGUUGCUGGCAUAAGACCCGAAGGGGAGGUGAUCUUACCAUGACCAGGUUGAAGCGUUAGUAAAAUAACGUGGAGGACCGAACCGGUGUAGCUUGAGAACUGCUCGGAUGAGUUGUGGUAAGGAGUGAAAGGCUAAUCAAACCCCCUGAUAGCUGGUUCUUUCCGAAAUAUAUUGAGGUAUAGCGUCGAGCGCUGACCUGUGGAGGUAGAGCACUGAAUAAGCUAGGGCCCCUACCGGGGUACUGAACUUUAUCAAACUCCGAAUGCCACAGGGUGAAGCUCGGCAGUCAGACUUAGGGUGCUAACGUCCUAAGUCGAGAGGGCAACAACCCAGACCAUCAGUUAAGGUCCCUAAAUGUGGCUCAGUGGUAAAGGAUGUGAUUUUACUUAGACAAUGGGGAUGUUGGCUUAGAGGCAGCCAUCAUUUAAACAGUGCGUAACAGCUGACCCAUCGAGUGAAAUUGCGCCGAAAAUGAUCGGGACUUAAGCCACAUACCGAAGCUAUGGAUUUCAGUUCCUCGGAACUGGAGUAGUAGGAAAGCGUUCCAAGUGCAGUGAAGGAGAAGGGGCAACCGACUCUGGAGCGCUUGGAAGUGAGAAUGCAGACAUGAGUAACGAUAAAGAUGGUUAAAGUCCAUCUCGCCGUAAGGAUAAGGUUUCCUGGGGAAGGCUCGUCCUCCCAGGGUUAGUCGGGAGCUAAGAUGAGGCCGUAAGGAGUAAUCGAUGCACAGAAGGUUAAUAUUCCUUCACCGGCUUGCAACUAUUCCCAGAGUGCGGAUUGACGGACCCUACAGACCUGUUUUGACAAGGCACUGCAAAGCUACGGCUGCGUGGGUGUAGGGAAAGAAGGUUCCAAGAAAAGCUCUGGAAUUACUAUGUAGGUCGCUCGUACCGCAAACCGACACAGGUAUCCGGGAUGAGUAUUCUAAGGCGCGCGAGUUAAAUCUCUCUAAGGAACUCGGCAAAUUGGCCCCGUAUCUUCGGUAUAAGGGGUGCCCCUCUAGGGGGGUCGCAGUUAAUAGCGUCAACCGACUGUUUAGCAAAAACACAGCUCUCUGCAAAGUCGCAAGACGACGUAUAGGGAGUGACACGUGACCAAUGCGAAAAGGUGAACGCCUGGGGUGCAAGCUCCGGGUCUAAGCCCUCGUGAAUGUCGGCCGUAACUAUAACGGUCCUAAGGUAGCGAAAUUCCUUGUCGGGUAAGUUCCGACCCGCACGAAUCGUGUAACGAGUUGACGACUGUCUCGGAGAGACGCUCGGUGAAAUUGUAGUAGCGGUUAAGAUGCCGCUUACCCGCAGCAGGACGGAAAGACCCUAUGCACCUUUACUGUAAGCUGUUAUUGUCGCUUGAUCUUCAUUGCGUAGAAUAGGUGGGAGACGUUGAUCCUUCGUUCCAGGACGAAGGCUAGUCGUAAUGUGAAAUACCACUCUUUGUUGGUUAGGCGUCUAACCUCUUUCCAUUAUCUGGAGGAGGGACAGUGAUAGCAGGUCAGUUUUACUGGGGCGGUAUCCUCCUAAAAAGUAACGGAGGAUUUCGAAGGUUCCCUCAGCCCGGUCGGUAAUCGGGCUAUAGAGCGCAAGAGUAUAAGGGAGCUUUACUGUGAGACCUACAAGUCGAGCAGUUGCGAAAGCAGGAUCUAGUGAUCCGGUGGUUGAAAGUGGAAUCGCCAUCGCUCAUAGGACAAAAGGUACGCUAGGGAUAACAGGCUGAUCGCGCCCAAGCGUUCACAGCGACGGCGCGGUUUGGCACCUCGAUGUCGGCUCAUCACAUCCUGGGGCUGGAGAAGGUCCCAA
rnacentral:rRNA from 1 species